rnacentral:rRNA from 1 species
UACGUAGGGUGCGAGCGUUAAUCGGAAUUACUGGGCGUAAAGCGUGCGCAGGCGGUUACUUAAGUCAGGUGUGAAAGCCCUGGGCUUAACCUAGGAAUUGCGCUUGAGACUGGGUAGCUUUGAGUGUGGCAGAGGGAGGUGGAAUUCCACGUGUAGCAGUGAAAUGCGUAGAGAUGUGGAGGAACACCUGUGGCGAAAGCGGCGCACUGGACCACAUCUGACGCUGAGGCGCGAAAGCUAGGGGAGCAAACAGG